GAUGAACGCUGGUGGCGUGCUUAACACAUGCAAGUCGAACGGAAAGGCCGAAGCUUGCUUCGGUACUCGAGUGGCGAACGGGUGAGUAACACGUGGGUGAUCUGCCCUGUACUUCGGGAUAAGCUUGGGAAACUGGGUCUAAUACCGGAUAUGACGAUCUCUUGGAUGGGGUUGUGGAAAGCUUUUGCGGUAUGGGAUGAGCUCGCGGCCUAUCAGCUUGUUGGUGGGGUAAUGGCCUACCAAGGCGUCGACGGGUAGCCGGCCUGAGAGGGUGUACGGCCACAUUGGGACUGAGAUACGGCCCAGACUCCUACGGGAGGCAGCAGUGGGGAAUAUUGCACAAUGGGCGCAAGCCUGAUGCAGCGACGCCGCGUGGGGGAUGACGGCCUUCGGGUUGUAAACUCCUUUCGCAAUCGACGAAGCCUUUUGGUGACGGUAGGUUGAGAAGAAGCACCGGCUAACUACGUG
rnacentral:rRNA from 1 species